UUAUGAGCAAAAAUAUUUUAUCCGAUUUUAAUAAAAAAAUGUGAAAACAGGGUUAUGUGGAAAUGCGUGGAGCAUUAUUUUGAAAAUCUUGGGGUGUGAUAAAUUCAAUUGACUAUCAAUAAUGCUGGCGGUAUUGGAGAAUAUUCAAAAGGCAAGUAAAUGUUCAUUGGAUACUGAUAAGUUUUAAUAAUUUAUGCGAGCAUUGUGGUCUAGAUACAGUUAUUUGUGAUCAGUUGAGCAUAUAUCGCUCCACGUUUUGGUAUAGCCACCAUUUAACUGUAUAUACCGAUAUUUGUUGAUUGAUGAUUUUUUUAAGGAUUUGUCUAAAAAUUGGUAUUUGCAGUUCGUAAUUAGUUCUAGCUCCGUUGACAGAACAUUUUAUUUGUAUUUUAAAGUAGAACACGUUUGAAUCCAGAUACUUAUUUUUAUAAAAAUAUUUUCUUUAGAUAAUGGUGGAGGGUAUUUAAAGUUCGGUUCGCGAACUUAUUGUUUUUUUACUUGUUUGCAUUACAUCUGAAAAUGGUGGUCUAGACCAGAAUGUUAUAAACUAUUUAGAAUCCAUUGAACAUAUAAUAUGACCGCACAUUAUUGAUAGCCGAUUUGUUAAUUUACGUUUCAAGUUUAAAACAUGAUCCUCAAAGUGCCGCAUUUUCUUAUUUCUACAUUUUUUUAUAAACAUUUUACAAUACAAAAUCAAAUUUCAUAUUAAUUUGUAUUUGGGUACUUUUUGACAAAUUGUCAGUGUCACUUUAUUCCUCUCAUAUCACUCUCCAAACUCGAAACAAUUGGAUAAAAUUUUGCCGCCUUUGAAAAAAAUCUCAACCGGCAUCGACAUAAGCAAUUUCAGAAUAUGGCCGGCUUUGUCCUUUGUUUGAGUAACGAAUAUUUUUCAAUUUCUUUAGAUAUGAAACGGACGUAAAAAUUGUGAUUUCUUGUUUUGUUUAAAAAUCGUAUAAACGAGAAUGAAAAUGCCACAAUCCAAAGAGCAUUUGAAGAAUAACUGCUGCAAGUAGUAGAAUCGCUAGAAUAAAUCUGGAUUCAAAGCUCCCAAAGACGUUGACUGUCACCGGAAUGUCAUUUUUGAAAAAAAAUUGCUGAAAUGAAAAAUAAAUUGGAACAAUGAUUGAAGUCUGAUAUUGUGUAAUAUAAAAAUUUAAAGAUAAGAAUAAUAUUAAAAUCCACACGGCAUUAGAGUGAAAAUGUAAUAAGAAAUCAAAUCUAUUAAAAUAUGGUUGUUAAGAGAUGUCAUUCUCAAAAUAAUUUCUAAAAUAAAAAAAUGAAUUGGAAAAGUCA